CAAAGUAUAUAUAUUGUGUACAAUACACACUUUCUGUUUUCUGGAAAGAUCUCCAAAGUCAUAUAUACAUAGUUCAUAUUGUGAUAGUUCUAUUGUGAAAUUAUUAAUCAUCUUAAGGAUGUACUUAGGUGAGGUUUUGGUAUUUGUGUCAAAUGUUCAGACUCCUUGGUGUUUUUCCAUACAAUACAAUGGAAAAUAUUUUGCCCCAUAACACCCAUUUAUUUUUUCAUAUAAGACUUAACAGCUCAUGAAAGGUCAUUUACCAAAAUUUUAGAAGAUUCUUGAUUUUCUUUCUUUUGUUUUGAGACUUAAAUAAUACAAUGCAAAUAUAACAUGUAUAAGGUAAAGUCCGAGUCAGCCUUUUCCCGUCAUAUUGUAAAUCUGAAAUAUCUGGAAAAGGAGGUUCAUGACCUUUCAAUAUUUUUAGCUUAUUUUUAUCCUUAAUUGAUGCUCUACCAGCUUAUAGUAUCAAUUUUAAAUUAUUAAUUUAUUAAAUUUCACAUAACCUCACCUAAGUACAUCC
rnacentral:lncRNA from 1 species